UACAGAGGGUGCGAGCGUUAAUCGGAAUUACUGGGUGUAAAGGGCGCGUAGGCGGUAAGGAAAGUGUGAUGUGAAAGCCCCGGGCUUAACCUGGGAAGCGCAUCGCAAACUACCUAACUAGAGUAUAUGAGAGGGUGGCGGAAUUUCCGGUGUAGCGGUGAAAUGCGUAGAGAUCGGAAGGAAGGUCGAUGGCGAAGGCAGCCACCUGGCAUAAUACUGACGCUGAGGCGCGAAAGCGUGGGGAGCGAACAGG
rnacentral:rRNA from 1 species